UUUAUUUUUUUUGAAUAAGCACUAACACAAACACAAAACCCACGACACAUCUCUCUUAAGCACACACGGUGCUUAUCUCUCAAACUCAUGGCAUAGACUGGGUCACGGACCUUCAAUCCACUUCUACUUCACAUGGCAGCUUCCCAAAAAUUCACUUUACUGUUAUCUCAGAAUGCACGGCAAUUACCUCUGUUCAGAGUCAUCUUCGAAACUCAUCAAGAAGGCACUCAAUCGACAAUAGGCAUUGAUUUCAAAUAUACAUCCUUCAAUUUCAUUAUCCAAUCGUCAUCUAAGCAAAUAAAAUUCGAUAUUGAUGAAAUUGGAGGAAUUAAGCAAAAGUUGGCAAAAUUGGAGAGAAUGGGCCAAAUUGUACAAGAUCCAAAGUUCUGGGACUAAAAUGUAAAUAAUCCAAACUUGUAUCGAACCUUGCCAUCAAGAUCCGAGAGUGUUAGGAGUCAAUUGGAUGAAGAAAGAUGUCAAAGGGAUCAAAUUUAGGCAAAAUGUGAUCACAAAUCAAUUUCCAAUCGAAAAGUUAUGCUCCAGAAUUUCAGUCUCAUAUUGAGACCUAUUUCUGACUUAGUAAACGAUCAAAUUGGAAAAUGAUGUUUGAAGAAAAGUUAUAGCCCUUUGAGUUAACUUUUCAACGCAUCUUGAAUCAUCUCAAUCGGACAUCGAACGAAGAAGUUAUGGCAAAAAUACUGAAGGAGGCGAAAACUGUCAUUUCCACCCGAAGUGGGCGCCAUGGCGUCCAAGAUGCUGAAAACAAUAGUGAACGCAGCGCCGUGGCGUCGCCUGCGCAGAAAAACGGGAUUUUAUAUUUAUGAAAUCUUUUCUUGGGCCAACUCAACCCUAAUUCGUUCAAUAACUUCAAGAUACUAUAAAUACCAUUAAAAAGACCUAUUUUAAAGAGGGAUGGAAGGGGGUAAGAUUGAAGAAUUCAACCACACAAUUUGAAGGAAGCAAAAAUUGAAGAUAUCAAAAGGAAGGAGGAACAUCAUCAAGGAAAAAGAUUGAAGAUUUAUCCAAAAGACUAGUUUUUUCUAUCCUUUUCCUUAUAUUGUUUAUUAUAAUUUGUAUGAUUUUCAUUUAUUAUAUCAGGAACUAAACAAAUUAUUUAGGUGUUUGAUGUAGCCAAAUCGAGUAUGGUUUGAUGAUUUUAUAAUUAUUUC